CGGCGCACGGGUGCGUAACACGUGGGUAAUCUGCCCUCGAGUCCGGGAUGACCUUCCGAAAGGUUGGCUAAUACCGGGUAAGCUCACGGAGGCUUUGGUCUCUGGGAGAAAAGUGGACCUCUGUUAACAAGUUCACGUUUGAGGAUGAGCCCGCGGCCCAUCAGCUAGUUGGCGGGGUAACGGCCCACCAAGGCAACGACGGGUAGCUGGUCUGAGAGGACGAUCAGCCACACUGGAACUGAGACACGGUCCAGACUCCUACGGGAGGCAGCAGUGGGGAAUUUUCCACAAUGGGCGAAAGCCUGAUGGAGCAACGCCGCGUGUGUGAUGAAGGUCUUCGGAUCGUAAAGCACUUUCGACCGGGACGAAAAACCUCUAUCUAACAAAUAGGGGCCUGACGGUACCGGGAGAAGAAGCACCGGCUAACUCUGUGCCAGCAGCCGCGGUAAUACAGAGGGUGCAAGCGUUGUUCGGAAUUAUUGGGCGUAAAGCGCGUGUAGGCGGCUUAUCAAGUCAGAUGUGAAAGCCCUCGGCUCAACCGAGGAAGUGCGUCUGAAACUGGUGAGCUUGAGUGUCGGAGAGGGUAGCGGAAUUCCGCAAGUAGAGGUGAAAUUCGUAGAGAUGCGGAGGAACACCGGUGGCGAAGGCGGCUACCUGGACGACGACUGACGCUGAGACGCGAAAGCGUGGGAAGCAAACAGGAUUAGAUACCCUGGUAGUCCACGCUGUAAACGAUGAGAAUUAGGUGUCGUGGGUGUUGACCCCCGCGGUGCCGCAGCUAACGCAUUAAGUUCUCCGCCUGGGAAGUACGGCCGCAGGCUAAACUCAAAGGAAUUGACGGGGGCCCGCACAAGCG
rnacentral:rRNA from 1 species